rnacentral:lncRNA from 1 species
GGGUGGACGGCUUUCUUCCACAUGCUCCAAAAUACGGAAGCUGCAAGAUAAUCGCAAGAAGAUGUCCCACAAAUCUGUGGUUGAAAUGGGCUCAAUUAUUAUAUUUCAUUGACUUGGAACUCCGUAUGAUACACGAUGUAUAUUUAUUUUUUUAAAUAAUAUUUUUAUAAAUUAAAAAUUUAAUAUAAUAUAAAAAAUAUAAUAGAUGAUAUCAAAUAGCUUAGAGAUUAUAAUCCC